GCUAAGAUGGUAGAGUGGUCAAAUACACGAGACUGUAAAUCUCGCGGCCGUACGGCCUUCGGGGGUUCGAAUCCCUCUCUUAGCA
rnacentral:tRNA from 1 species